ACACAACCAACCCCUGAGAGCAGUCUGACCUGCAGCCAGCUGCUGUUAAUGAGCUGAGAAGGAGGCAGGAAUCUGUGCAAUGAAAACAGUGGAUUUGACAGACACAGAAGAUUACACUUCUGCCUUUUCUGAUUCAGUUGCUCAUUGGUACUUUGUGAAGAAUAUCUCCUGUGCUUUUGCACGGAGUAAACCAAUGCAAGGGCUGAUGAUCUUUCAAGAAGGCUUUCCCAUGCUUUGGAAUUGUCCUCGCAGAACAGUUACUUUAUGGAGGUCCUCAUGUUUGGCAUGUGAAAUAGCAUGAAAUAGAGGCCUUUGAAUAACUAAACCAUGGAUGUAGUAUAUGCUUGCUAAACUAGCUUCAGGUUAGAUAAGAGCUUUUCAUGCCUUACUCAGUUUGAUUUAUGAGCCCUUCAUUGCCAUAAUGUUUGUAAUUUCUGUUAUGAAAUCCUACUUGAAGAAACAAUCUGGAGAAAAUCGUGCAAACUCUUUGUUGUAUCUGCUUUUCAUUUUGGAAUAAAACAG
rnacentral:lncRNA from 14 species